rnacentral:rRNA from 1 species
AUUGAACGCUGGCGGCAGGCCUAACACAUGCAAGUCGAACGAGUGGCGGACGGGUGAGUAAUGUCUGGGAAACUGCCCGAUGGAGGGGGAUAACUACUGGAAACGGUAGCUAAUACCGCAUACCUUCGGAUUUGCCCAGAUGGGCGUAGCUAGUAGGUGGGGUAACGGCGCACCUAGGCGACGAUCCCUAGCUGGUCUGAGAGGAUGACCAGCCACAAUGGACCUGAAACACGGUCCUGAUUCCUACGGGAGUCAGCAGUGGUGAAUAUUGCACAAUUGGUGCAGUCCUGAUGCAGCCAUGCCGCGUGUAUGAAGAAGUCCUUCGGGUUGUAAAGUACUUUCAGCGUGGAGGCGUUGCCCGCAGAAGAAGCACCGGCUAACUCCGUGCCAGCAGCCGCGGUAAUUC